GUAGAUUGGUGUUAAGGUUACAUUUCGAUUAAGUAUUUUUUAGGACCGCUGUUAAUAUUGUGAUGUUUCUUUUGUAUUACUUUCAUGUUCUUUAAUUGGGAUGUAAUGACAGUUAUUUAUUUGUGUAAACAUAGGCUUUCCUGCACUGCCGAGGUAUUCGACAUACUCCUGAACCUGACUUUUCCUCUUGUUGACUGCACGUUCGUUAAGUGGCAACGUGACCGUCUCAUCAUAGUUCGCCAUCACUAUGGAACGAAGAGCUGAGUACUCCGUGCAUAUUUCCUUAUCG